CCUGCGUCCCAUCAGCUAGUUGGUAGGGUAAUGGCCUACCAAGGCAAAGACGGGUAGGGGGCGUGAGAGCGUGGCCCCCCACACUGGUACUGAAACACGGACCAGAUACCUACGGGUAGCAGCAGCAAGGAAUAUUGCGCAAUGGGCGAAAGCCUGACGCAGCAACGCCGCGUGGAGGAUGAAGGCCUUCGGGUUGUAAACUCCUUUUCUGGGGGAAGAGAAAGGACGGUACCCCAGGAAUAAGGCCCGGCUAACUACGUGCCAGCAGCCGCGGUAAAACGUAGGGGUCAAGCGUUAUCCGGAUUUACUGGGCGUAAAGCGCAUGUAGGCGGUUGCUUAAGUCGGACGUGAAAGCUCCUGGCUCAACUAGGAGAGGCCGUUCGAAACUAGGUAACUCGAGGAUGGUAGAGGAGAGUGGAAUUCCCGGUGUAGUGGUGAAAUGCGUAGAUAUC
rnacentral:rRNA from 1 species